rnacentral:rRNA from 1 species
UACGGGGGGGGCAAGCGUUGUUCGGAAUUACUGGGCGUAAAGGGCUCGUAGGUGGCCAACUAAGUCAGACGUGAAAUCCCUCAGCUUAACUGGGGAACUGCGUCUGAUACUGGAUGGCUUGAGUUUGGGAGAGGGAUGCGGAAUUCCAGGUGUAGCGGUGAAAUGCGCAGAUAUCAGGAGGAACACCGGUGGCGAAGGCGGUUAGCUGGGCAGUUGCUGACACUGAGGCGCGACAGCGUGGGGAGCAAACAGG